AUACGGAGGAUCCGAGCGUUAUCCGGAUUUAUUGGGUUUAAAGGGUGCGCAGGCGGCCAUUUAAGUCAGCGGUUAAAUCGUGGGGCUCAACCCCAUUCUGCCGUUGAUACUGGGUGGCUUGAUUGCGGUCGAGGUUGGCGGAAUUCGUUGUGUAGCGGUGAAAUGCAUAGAUAUGACGAAGAACACCGAUUGCGUAGGCAGCUGACCAGACCGCAAAUGACGCUCAUGCACGAAAGUGCGGGGAUCGAACAGGAUUAGAUACCCUGGUAGUCCGCCCAGUAAACGAUGAAUACUUGUUUUCGGCGAUAUAAUGUCGGAGGCAAAGCGAAAGCGAUAAGUAUUCCACCUGGGGAGUACGCCGGCAACGGUGAAACUCAAAUGAAUUGACGGGG
rnacentral:rRNA from 1 species